GGGCACUUUUUGUUGCUGGGAUGGAACUGGAACAAUUUGAAACUGACUUUGUGGUGGUUGUCUCUAUUCCUUUUCCUUUCCAAGCCUAAUGUAGAAAACCUUGAUAAGGUUGUUGUUGGCUCUCUUAUCCUGUACCCAUGUCUUCAUUUCAUCCUCAAGACCUCAGCAAGCUUUAGCUUGGCCCAGAGAACCCUGUUCUGUGCAUUGAGGUCCUCAUUUGCUUUGGCAAGGCUUUUUAACUUUACCUCUAUUGCUUCGAUGUGAUUCAUCUCUCUGAUGGCUGCUUCCAUCUCAUUUAUUAGCUCUUUGAUAUUUUCCGUAAGCCUUUCAUUUUCUUCCUCUUGUUUUUGGCUUGCUUGGGGUACCUGCAAAUUACCUAUACUAAAGCGCUAUCUCCCCGUGAACAGUAAAAGUCAUGUUGAUUUACUUUUUUGCCCCUCAUUGUUUCUUUAUUACAACGCUGCCAUUCGACUUUAUGGGAGUGAGAGAGAGAGAGAGACUGGGAGAUGGAUACAGGUCUUCUGCGAGAGACAUGCUUGGAAAAGAUUAAGCGCCAGCUUGCUUCCGGUUUGCAUCGGAACUUGCUCCAGAACCCAAUUACCUUUUUCCUGAUUAACUAUAAAUGGCUUCUCUACAUUAGGUUGCUGAAAUUGUCAUUAAGUUUGGAGCUUCUGGAUUUUCGAUAAGGAUGAACGCAGUAUCGACACAAGUUGUCUGAGGCAUACAUUCUAGAAGUUCCAACAGACUGUGGCUGAGCUUAAAGGACUACACCAAUUGAUAUGGAAUUGGCAAGAUUUUUAGUAUUUUUGCGGGGAUUUUCUUUUUUGAAUGGACCCCUACAAUUUCUUAAUCAUCAGCCUAAGCCCUCACUUAUUUACCAUAGUACUUAACUUAGUUCAGUACUAUGACCAAUUGCUUGAGACACCAGAUUUUGAAAAAUGUAUAACAAUACCAUUUGUAGGUAUGUAAUGUAUUUAAUGUUUGUAAAUGUUGUAUUAUUAAGCUGAACAUAUUAAUAAUAUACCCGCAGCAUUGUGCGGGCUGGAAUACCUAGUA